UCCGGCGUGGCAGAUUAAUCGCAUUGGUAAGUUUUUUUAUAAAUCCUGUCUCAGUAGGCGCAAUUUGCCCAUUGAGCUACUAUGGUCCGUAGGCAAAAGUCAGUAGUAUAGCUCAUCAGUGUGGUGAUAAAAAAAUCCAUUGUUUCUCAGUAAAAUAGGCAUGGAGAGACUAUAAUGCACCGUUGGGAAAAAGACUGGCAUUUUUAUACACAAAUUUCUCACGAGUUAAGCUAGAUAUGAUGGCUUGCUUGAUUAGAAACCCUUUGAGAAAAGAAGAAAUGGCCUCAGAAUUCAGUUAACUAAAAAUGAGA
rnacentral:lncRNA from 1 species